CCGCGCUAUUGAAAGUGAAUUCGAAUUGUGUUUUCAAGUGUUAUAUUAUUUGUUAAAUUCUAUAUUUUUAAAAUGCGUUGUGCAGUGUUCGGUUGUAAUAAUAACAAUGGUAAAAAUACUGCUACGGAGUGGAGAUUUUUUCAUUUCCCUAAGGAUAAAGCCGCAUUAAAACAAUGGAUUCAAAUAAUGUACUGGAACAGAUGACGAAGCCGGUUUCAUCAAUGAGAGUCAUUGGUAAAAAUGGUUUGCUUCCAUUCCAAAAACGUAUACUCCAAAGCAAUAAUGCUUUGAAAUUGCUGCUGGAUGACUUAAGACAGCAGCACAAAAUUGAUUACGUUUUGACCUAUCGAUUGAAUCAGGCCGUUUUGGAAUUUUUUUUGGCGUAAUCAGUUCAAAAGGCGGUCUUCACGAUCACCCUGGCAGGCAGGAGUUCAAAUAUAGGCUGCGUUCCUAUAUACUUGGUCACAACGAAGGAGCGAUCACAGAAGAAGGCAAUGUUGAAGUCGACAACACACCAGAUUUGGAAGGAAAUUACUUAUCUCUAACCGGUAAUAUUUUUCAACGUGUGUCAGUUGAUCUGAAUUCCACUGACCCAAUCGAAAAAAUGAUCACUUGGAGAUUCUCAACAACGACGGACUUGAAAAUUGGCAGGGUACAUCUGCCACAAACUCGGUAAAGACAAUCCCGAAAUUUGUGCCAAUUCCGAAAAUUGUUCGUCCCAUACUUGGAUGGAUCACCUUUCUGAAGGAGGACUCUCAAAACCAACAGAUAUGUUGAUGGAGCAUUUGAGAGCCUUGCAAGCAAUAUUUGACGACGUCAAUGGUAAUGAUUUGCAUAUAAGUAUGUACAAAUUACGUCCAGAAACACAUAGAUUUAAGUGAUUUUGUAAAUUGU